rnacentral:lncRNA from 1 species
UACAGUAAUGGAGAAGGUUCAUAUAGAUAGCAUCAAGCGAGAACUCCAAGAAACAUCUCAACGCUUAGAGACAAUCAAAUCAGAAAAAGCCAAGAUGGAGUCUGAGGCAUCAGAAUACAAGAACGUUGCCGCGAAACUUGAAUCAGACCUGAAGGGCCUGUCGGACGCAUACAACAGUCUAGAACAAGCGAACUACCAUCUCGAGAAAGAGGUGAGAUCCUUGAAAGGAGGAGAAGGUCCUAUGGAGUAUCCUGAUGUAGAAGCGAUUAAGGAAGAAGUGAGAAAGGAAGCUCAGAAAGAGAGCGAAGACGAGUUGAACGACUUGUUAGUGUGUUUGGGACAAGAGGAGAGCAAAGUGGAGAAGCUAACGGCGAAGCUGGUAGAGUUAGGAGUUGAUGUUGAUAAGCUUUUGGAGGAUAUUGGGGACGAGUUGCAAGCUCAAGGGGAAUGUGAAGAUGAUGAUGAUGAUGACCACUAAACAAAGUUGUAGAGAUCAAAUCUUCUCAGUCACUCUAAGUAAUUUAUCAUCUACUUUCCAACAUGUUAUAUUGUUUUCUUGAUUUCUCAGAAGCUUUUUUACUUCAAGAUAUAGACAAGAUGAAUGAAUGAAAGAAGAAUCAGAUUUGGUUUCUCACUCUUAUUCUUCAUAGUCAUCUUUGAUCAUUUUACCAGUAUUUUCAGAUAACGGGGGGAAUUGAUUCAAGGUGCAAUGCAGAAGGGUUCAGAUGAAGCUUUACCCUCCAAAUCUAGAGUAAAACAAACAAGCAUUUUGAUUGAAAAGUUUGCAUUAAUUGUUAUUGUGCGUGUAUUUUGAGAAAUUGCAAACAAAAAUAGCAGUUAGUUUUCUGAAGUGAAAGUCAAAAUCAACAAGACACAAGGAGGGAGGAUCAGUCACGUAUCAAAAGCCUCAAGUCGUAAGAAUCCUCUUCUUGUUGGAAUCUUGUGUGAGCUUUCUGAAGGAUUUUGAGAACCUUAGACAAUGAUCCAUUGCUUCGACUCUCGUCGCUCUUCUUCUCUGCGUGAGAGUAAAAUUCUUCUUCCGAAUCAUUAUUCGUCAUCUGGUAUCUGAAAUAAAUGUACUGUUUCACCUGCUCUGACUGUGUUGUGCACUUGUGCUAUGUUUUAACUUAUUGUUUGUCUGUCCAGGUUCGAGGUGCCUUAGAAACUCUUCUUGGCGCUCUAACGCCAAUCGAUCAUGCAAGGGCACAGAAGACUGAAGUCCAUGCGGCUCUUAUGAAUUCCGAUUUGCUCUCCCGUGAAGCUGAAAAUAUCACUCUUCUUUUAAGUUUGCUGGUUAGAGUUUAUUAUAUAUUUUCGAAACUGUCUUGUCAAAUUUUUGUGCGUGCAUCAUAUCAUAUUGUUUGUUUUCCUUGUGGUAUGGCAGGAGGAAGAAGAUUUUUAUGUUCGAUAUUUCACUCUCCAGAUUUUGACAGCUCUUCUUAUGAACUCUCAAAAUAGGUAUAUAUUCUUACAGAGUAUUAAUGCUGUGCCAUCUUUCUAUCUAUGCUGUAGAGUCUUUUGUUGAUGGUCUCUUCAGAUUGCAGGAAGCUAUUUUGACUACUCCUCGCGGCAUAACUCGGCUCAUGGAUAUGCUGAUGGAUAGGGAGGUAACAGUUAACUAUAUCUUGGAUAUUCUUAACGUUGCUAUUGGUUUGUUUAAGAGUCUGGUCUCUUUAGCCUUCAGUUAACCUCAAAUAAUUAUUAGUCUGGGAAGGGAUGAAUAUUAUGUUUCAUAAACUUUAUUUAUUGGUGUUUGGCUUACAGGUAAUCCGGAACGAGGCUUUGUUGCUUCUUACGCACUUGACGCGUGAAGCAGAGGUGCGAUAACCUGCUUAUAUCUGUAACUCUUCGUUUUCUUCUGCCUUUCUUUAGCUGAAGUAGCCAUUGAAUCUGAUCGAUCUCGCUUAAUGAUUAACUACUUGUAGGAGAUCCAAAAAAUUGUUGUCUUUGAAGGUGCAUUUGAAAAGAUUUUUAGCAUCAUCAAGGAGGAAGGAGGGUCAGAUGGCGAUGUGGUUGUGCAGGUGACCAGUAGCUCUUUUUUUUUUAAAAUAUAUUAUAGCACUAAGAAUUGGACAUUUGAGAAGGAAAAGUGAUAUUGUUUUGUUCUUUAAUUUAGAACUACAAAAUUAUUGGCAUUUACACGUCCAAAUGUUGUCUUCCUGCAAUUUUUGCAAGCACUUCCUUGUCCAUGCAUUUGCACUAAUAGUGUUCGUUCUUUACAGGACUGUCUGGAGUUGUUGAAAAAUCUUCUUCGCAACAGUUCAUCAAACCAGGUAUCAAAGCUUUGUAUAUGUUCUGUAUUUUUCUGAUUCAUCUGCACAAAUGCUGAUAUUCGAAAUUGUACAGAUACUACUAAGGGAGACCAUGGGUUUUGAACCAAUCAUUUCAGUUCUAAAACUGCGAGGGAUUACAUAUAAGUUCACCCAGCAGAAGGUUAGAUCAUCGAGUGCUUCUCUCAUUUUGGAUUGAUUCUACCAGCUAGUGCGAGUUUGUUAAUAUUUUUCCGUCUCAAUGAACAAAAUCCUAGUAGACUGUUAAUCUGCUUUGUGCACUGGAGACAAUCAAUAUGCUGAUCAUGGGAGGUGCAGUCACGGACCCUGGAAAAGAAUCAAACAAACUGGCAAAUAGAACGGUUUUUGUUCAGGUUUGUGUUACGAUGUAAAAAAUGUUGUGGCUCCCCAUUGUUGACAUAUGUUUCUUAUUAUAUCAUAUUUGGUCUAAUCAACAGAAAAAACUACUAGACCACCUCCUUAUGUUGGGUGUUGAAAGCCAAUGGUCGCCUGUUGCUGUUCGGUGCAUGGUAAGCAAAUCUCCUUUGUUAUCAUUCAAAUUUCUUUUCUGAUUUGUGCAACUGACAACAAUUUCGAAAAUUCAAUUUAACUUCUUCUUUUGUUGAACCUUGUUUCUAAGUUGACCAUGGAACUGGUGUGUUUAUGGGUUUUUAUCUAGAGAUUGUUAAUGUAUCAUCUAGACCCAGUAAGCUUAAGUAUCUAAUGGGUCUUCUAUUUUUUGAUUCUUUGCUACUAGACAUUUAAAUGCAUUGGAGAUCUGGUUGAUGGACAUCCCAAGAACCGUGAUAUCCUUGCUAGCAAAGUUCUUGGUGAAGAUCGGCAAGCAGAACCUGCACUCAAUUCUAUCCUCCGGAUCAUUUUACAGACAUCUAGUAUUCAAGAGUUUGUUGCUGCUGAUUAUGUCUUCAAGACCUUCUGUGAGGUUUGGAACUUUUGUGUUAUAUGUUAUUAUUUGAUAGUGUAAUGUGAGCUUGCAGCUUAUUGUUACAUUCUCUAAACGUUUUCAGAAAAAUCGGGAGGGUCAAGCAAUGCUAGCUUCAACUUUAAUACCCCAACCACAUCCCACCACCCGAGAUCCUCUAGAAGAUGAUGUUAACAUGUCUUUUGGAAGGUGUUAUCCUCUUUUCCUUUCUCCAGCAGCUUUCACCGGUUCAUUAUCAUUGCUCUUUUGACCUAAUGCUCUUGUAUCAAAUCUUACUGGAAUUUUAUAUUUGUGUCAGUAUGUUAUUGCGAGGCAUUUUCCCUGGUGAAACUGAUGGGGAUCUUGAGGUAAAAUAUUUGUGUCUCUGUUGAAUGUUAAUUUGUUACGUCUUCCAGAACUAAUCUAUUGAUUUCAAACAGACAUGUUGCAGAGCUGCGAGCAUUCUUUCUCAUGUUUUGAAAGACAACAUUCAGUGCAAGGAAAAGGUAAUUGACUUCAAUGUAACCACACCUUUAUACCUUAGGUUCUGCAUUGCCUGACUGUUUCAGAAACUCAACAGGCUUUGAAAAUAGUACUUGAGUCACCUGUGCCGUCCAUGGGAACUCCAGAGCCUCUCUUUCAAAGGAUCGUCAGAUACCUAGCAGUUGCCUCUUCCAUGAAAAGCCAAGAUAAAUCAAAAUCAUAUAUUCAACAGAUCAUCUUAAAACUGCUUGUCACAUGGACCGUUGAUUGCCCAGCUGCAGUUCAGUGCUUUCUAGAUUCACGCCACCACCUAACGUACCUGCUCGAUCUGGUAUCAAACCCAGCUGCAACAGUUUGCAUAAGAGGCUUGGCGUCUAUCCUACUGGGAGAAUGCGUCAUCUACAACAAAUCAAGCGAGAAUGGUAAAGAUGCUUUUGCUGUAGUUGAUGCUGUGAGCCAGAAGAUGGGGCUCACAUCAUACUUCUCGAAGUUCGAAGAGAUGCAGAGCAGCCUCAUCUUCUCUUCUUCCUCCGAGAGACCUCGAGAGGAUCAUGAACCGUUGACGAGAACAGCCACGCCUAGUGAAGCCGAGAUCGAGGAUGUUGACGUGGCAGGUGCGAUGGAUAAGGGGAACGAGGAUCACCCGAUGCUCAUAUCGUUGUUUGAUCCUAGCUUCACAGGCUUAGUGAAGAGCCUUGAAGGUAGCAUUAGAGAGAGAAUCGUGGACGUGUAUAGUCGGCCAAAAAGUGAGGUGGCUGUAGUACCGGCGGAUUUGGAGCAGAGGAGCGGAGAAAGUGAGAAUGAGAAAGACUACAUCAACCGCGUGAAAGCUUUUAUAGAGAAACAGUGCUCGGAGAUUCAGGUACAUGCUUCUUGCUCAACUCGUCUAUGCUUUUAAUUGUUUUAUUGCAAAAAUUAUUUUGAUGAAUUAUCAAAAUUAAAUAUACAAAACAACAAAUUUAUUGAUUUGUACUUACAUCAUUACUUUAAUUUAACAGAUUUAAACUAAUUUAUUUUUAUUUAAAUCGAUUUAGAAUGGUUUAAACCGAUUUGAAUCAUAUAAAUCAGAUUUUAAGAAAAUUGUUUUGUCUAAGACAGAUUUGCCGCCUUAAACCGACUUUUAGAACCAUGAUUACUACGAACUAUGUCUUAUGUUCUUAGUGAGAAGUGAACUGAAACAAAUAUUCAUACAAUUAGUCUCCAAAUUUAUGUGAUAUGUAUGAAUAUGAUUAUGUGAAGGUUAUAACCGAAACAAAAUAAAUCUCAACAUCAGUUGUGCCUUAAAGAGCUUAUUGUCGACCUCUGUGUACUUUUCCAGAACCUUCUUGCUCGGAACGCUGCUUUGGCAGAAGACGUAGCGAGCUCUGGCAGGAACGAGCAAUCUCAAGGAUCAGAGCAAAGAGCAAGUACAGUAAUGGAGAAGGUUCAUAUAGAUAGCAUCAAGCGAGAACUCCAAGAAACAUCUCAACGCUUAGAGACAAUCAAAUCAGAAAAAGCCAAGAUGGAGUCUGAGGCAUCAGAAUACAAGAACGUUGCCGCGAAACUUGAAUCAGACCUGAAGGGCCUGUCGGACGCAUACAACAGUCUAGAACAAGCGAACUACCAUCUCGAGAAAGAGGUGAGAUCCUUGAAAGGAGGAGAAGGUCCUAUGGAGUAUCCUGAUGUAGAAGCGAUUAAGGAAGAAGUGAGAAAGGAAG